rnacentral:rRNA from 1 species
GAUGAACGCUGGCGGCGUGCCUAAUACAUGCAAGUCGAGCGAACAGACGAGGAGCUUGCUCCUCUGACGUUAGCGGCGGACGGGUGAGUAACACGUGGAUAACCUACCUAUAAGACUGGGAUAACUUCGGGAAACCGGAGCUAAUACCGGAUAAUAUAUUGAACCGCAUGGUUCAAUAGUGAAAGACGGUUUUGCUGUCACUUAUAGAUGGAUCCGCGCCGCAUUAGCUAGUUGGUAAGGUAACGGCUUACCAAGGCAACGAUGCGUAGCCGACCUGAGAGGGUGAUGACCCACACUGGAACUGAGACAGCGUCCAGACCCCGCGGGGAGGCAGCAGUGGGGAAUAUUGCACAAGGGGCGCAAGCCGGAGGGAGCAACACCGCGUGAGGGAAGAAGGUCUUCGGAUCGUAAACCUCUUUUUUUGGGAAAAAAAAAAAGUAUAAUAAAAUCUCCCUGUUUUGACGGUACCAAAUAAAAAAGCACCGGCUAACUCCGUC